UCUCGACUUGUGCCAUAACUUCAUGUACGUCAUACGUUGCGAAGCAGGAAAUUGAGUCUUUCUGAAAUUCUCACGGAAGAAAACCAAAUUACAUGGUGAAAAUGGUAAAGACAAAUUUAGUAUUUUCGACUGUUACAUUGAUCACAUUUCUUGGUCUUGCCAAAGGAACAAUAAUAUCUCCACCUGAUGGUCAAAAUUUGUAUUUU